GACGAACGCUGGCGGCGUGCCUAAUACAUGCAAGUAGAACGCUGAAGAGAGGGGCUUGCUCUUCUUGGAUGAGUUGCGAACGGGUGAGUAACGCGUAGGUAACCUGCCUGGUAGCGGGGGAUAACUAUUGGAAACGAUAGCUAAUACCGCAUAAAAUGGAUUAUCGCAUGAUAAUCCAUUGAAAGGUGCAAAUGCAUCACUACCAGAUGGACCUGCGUUGUAUUAGCUAGUUGGUGGGGUAACGGCUCACCAAGGCGACGAUACAUAGCCGACCUGAGAGGGUGAUCGGCCACACUGGGACUGAGACACGGCCCAGACUCCUACGGGAGGCAGCAGUAGGGAAUCUUCGGCAAUGGACGGAAGUCUGACCGAGCAACGCCGCGUGAGUGAAGAAGGUUUUCGGAUCGUAAAGCUCUGUUGUAAGAGAAGAACGAGUGUGAGAGUGGAAAGUUCACACUGUGACGGUAUCUUACCAGAAAGGGACGGCUAACUACGUGCCAGCAGCCGCGGUAAUACGUAGGUCCCGAGCGUUGUCCGGAUUUAUUGGGCGUAAAGCGAGCGCAGGCGGUUAGAUAAGUCUGAAGUUAAAGGCUGUGGCUUAAUCAUAGUACGCUUUGGAAACUGUUUAACUUGAGUGCAAGAGGGGAGAGUGGAAUUCCAUGUGUAGCGGUGAAAUGCGUAGAUAUAUGGAGGAACACCGGUGGCGAAAGCGGCUCUCUGGCUUGUAACUGACGCUGAGGCUCGAAAGCGUGGGGAGCAAACAGG
rnacentral:rRNA from 1 species